AGGACGAACGCUGGCGGCGUGCUUAACACAUGCAAGUCGAACGAGGUCCAACCUUCGGGUGAAGACCUAGUGGCGAACGGGUGCGUAACACGUGAGGAACUUGUCCCGGUCUCUGGGAUAACAGUUGGAAACGACUGCUAAUACCGGAUGACGUCGGAGCGUCGCAUGGCGCGCUGACGAAAGGGUUACUGGAUCGGGAGAGCCUCGCGGCCUAUCAGCUUGUUGGUGGGGUAACGGCCUACCAAGGCAUCGACGGGUAGCUGGUCUGAGAGGAUGAUCAGCCACACUGGGACUGAGACACGGCCCAGACUCCUACGGGAGGCAGCAGUGGGGAAUCUUGCGCAAUGGGCGAAAGCCUGACGCAGCAACGCCGCGUGCGGGAAGAAGGCUCUCGGGUUGUAAACCGCUUUCAGAAGGAACGAAACUGACGGUACUUUCAGAAGAAGGUGCGGCCAACUACGUGCCAGCAGCCGCGGUAA
rnacentral:rRNA from 1 species